rnacentral:lncRNA from 1 species
AAGGAAGGUCAGGGAGGCCUCCUUAGGGGUCAUUGAAGUUGGGACCCAAACGAGGAGAAGGAAGAAGCCAUGUGAAGGUCUCGAUGGCGGCAGGACACCAUACGAUGACUCCCGGAUAGUUGAAAGCAGAACACUUGAUCACUUACAGCUCCAAACCAGGGAAGGCUGCCACGCGGGGCCACACAGGCACCGGGGAGUAAGGCAAGCGCAAGCUGGAAUGCAGGUGGCAGCUUCUGGAUGGCGAGCAACGGGGGGUUCAAAAGAAUGGGGCUACACAGCUGGAUGAACAAUGGCACCAACUUCUGAUGCGGAGGUAGUUUCAGGAAAGGGGAUAAAGUGGGAAGAUGAAGAAUCCAGAGACGAGAGAUCCAUUUUGCCCUAUAAAGUCUGACCUAUCCAUUGGACACUCAGGAGGAUGUCUCAAGUAUGCGAUCACGUACAGAAUUGCAGAGAAAAGACCCAGACUCCUGAGUGGGAGGAGAUAUUUACAACAGACAUGUGUGGCAAAGACCUCACAGCCUGAAUAUAUAAAGUGCUCCUACAAAUGAAUAAGAAAAAACCAGACAACCUUGUAGAAAAAUGGGCAAGAGACUUGAGCACACAAGGUUUUAAUGUAAGAAAUUACACAGUUGGGUCAUUUUAUGAGUACAAAGUGAAAACCAGUGGCAUGGACUCCCCCUCAUUGAUUUAAGAGACUAGUCAUUUCCAGAAAAGGACCUGAGAUGCAAGAAAUUGAAACAUAUAUUAUUGGUUCAGUUCUAGCCAAAAGGUACAACCAUAGAAAGUGUAGAAAGUGCUGAUGGCAUGGCCAACAGUAUGUUACCUCAAGAUGGAGGCCAACCCAUCAGAUGUCUGGAAAGUCACCUGUAAUUGGGCUUCUGUUGGUCUUGAGCAUCUUUGACUGGUGUCCCUUUGACUGGUCUUCAGGAUUCAACCAAAUAAAGUCAUCCCACCCAUGUCUUGGACCUGAA